UACAGAGGAGCCAAGCGUUGUCCGGAUUGACUGGGCGUAAAGCGUGCGCAGGCGGCGCGUUAAGACAGGUGUGAAAAGCCCCCGAGCUUAACUUGGGAAUUGCCGCUUGUGACUGGCGUGCUGGAGUGUGGCAGAGGGAGGUGGAAUUCCACGUGUAGCAGUGAAAUGCGUAGAGAUGUGGAGGAACACCGAUGGCGAAGGCAGCCUCCUGG
rnacentral:rRNA from 1 species